UCCUACGGGACGCAGCAGUGGGGAAUAUUGGACAAUGGGCGAAAGCCUGAUCCAGCAAUGCCGCGUGAGUGAUGAAGGCCUUAGGGUUGUAAAGCUCUUUUACCAGGGAUGAUAAUGACAGUACCUGGAGAAUAAGCUCCGGCUAACUCCGUGCCAGCAGCCGCGGUAAUACGGAGGGAGCUAGCGUUGUUCGGAAUUACUGGGCGUAAAGCGUGCGUAGGCGGUUAUUCAAGUCAGAGGUGAAAGCCCGGGGCUCAACCCCGGAACGGCCUUUGAAACUAGAUAGCUAGAAUCUUGGAGAGGUUAGUGGAAUUCCGAGUGUAGAGGUGAAAUUCGUAGAUAUUCGGAAGAACACCAGUGGCGAAGGCGACUAACUGGACAAGCAUUGACGCUGAGGCACGAAAGCGUGGGGAGCAAACAGGAUUAGAUACCCCUGU
rnacentral:rRNA from 1 species